GUUAAGCGACUAAGCGUACACGGUGGAUGCCCUGGCAGUCAGAGGCGAUGAAGGACGUGCUAAUCUGCGAUAAGCGUCGGUAAGGUGAUAUGAACCGUUAUAACCGGCGAUUUCCGAAUGGGGAAACCCAGUGUGAUUCGUCACACUAUCAUUAACUGAAUCCAUAGGUUAAUGAGGCGAACCGGGGGAACUGAAACAUCUAAGUACCCCGAGGAAAAGAAAUCAACCGAGAUUCCCCCAGUAGCGGCGAGCGAACGGGGAGCAGCCCAGAGCCUGAAUCAGUGUGUGUGUUAGUGGAAGCGUCUGGAAAGGCGUGCGAUACAGGGUGACAGCCCCGUACACAAAAAUGCACAUGCUGUGAGCUCGAUGAGUAGGGCGGGACACGUGGUAUCCUGUCUGAAUAUGGGGGGACCAUCCUCCAAGGCUAAAUACUCCUGACUGACCGAUAGUGAACCAGUACCGUGAGGGAAAGGCGAAAAGAACCCCGGCGAGGGGAGUGAAAAAGAACCUGAAACCGUGUACGUACAAGCAGUGGGAGCACGCUUAGGCGUGUGACUGCGUACCUUUUGUAUAAUGGGUCAGCGACUUAUAUUCUGUAGCAAGGUUAACCGAAUAGGGGAGCCGAAGGGAAACCGAGUCUUAACUGGGCGUUAAGUUGCAGGGUAUAGACCCGAAACCCGGUGAUCUAGCCAUGGGCAGGUUGAAGGUUGGGUAACACUAACUGGAGGACCGAACCGACUAAUGUUGAAAAAUUAGCGGAUGACUUGUGGCUGGGGGUGAAAGGCCAAUCAAACCGGGAGAUAGCUGGUUCUCCCCGAAAGCUAUUUAGGUAGCGCCUCGUGAAUUCAUCUCCGGGGGUAGAGCACUGUUUCGGCAAGGGGGUCAUCCCGACUUACCAACCCGAUGCAAACUGCGAAUACCGGAGAAUGUUAUCACGGGAGACACACGGCGGGUGCUAACGUCCGUCGUGAAGAGGGAAACAACCCAGACCGCCAGCUAAGGUCCCAAAGUCAUGGUUAAGUGGGAAACGAUGUGGGAAGGCCCAGACAGCCAGGAUGUUGGCUUAGAAGCAGCCAUCAUUUAAAGAAAGCGUAAUAGCUCACUGGUCGAGUCGGCCUGCGCGGAAGAUGUAACGGGGCUAAACCAUGCACCGAAGCUGCGGCAGCGACACUGUGUGUUGUUGGGUAGGGGAGCGUUCUGUAAGCCUGCGAAGGUGUGCUGUGAGGCAUGCUGGAGGUAUCAGAAGUGCGAAUGCUGACAUAAGUAACGAUAAAGCGGGUGAAAAGCCCGCUCGCCGGAAGACCAAGGGUUCCUGUCCAACGUUAAUCGGGGCAGGGUGAGUCGACCCCUAAGGCGAGGCCGAAAGGCGUAGUCGAUGGGAAACAGGUUAAUAUUCCUGUACUUGGUGUUACUGCGAAGGGGGGACGGAGAAGGCUAUGUUGGCCGGGCGACGGUUGUCCCGGUUUAAGCGUGUAGGCUGGUUUUCCAGGCAAAUCCGGAAAAUCAAGGCUGAGGCGUGAUGACGAGGCACUACGGUGCUGAAGCAACAAAUGCCCUGCUUCCAGGAAAAGCCUCUAAGCAUCAGGUAACAUCAAAUCGUACCCCAAACCGACACAGGUGGUCAGGUAGAGAAUACCAAGGCGCUUGAGAGAACUCGGGUGAAGGAACUAGGCAAAAUGGUGCCGUAACUUCGGGAGAAGGCACGCUGAUAUGUAGGUGAAGUCCCUCGCGGAUGGAGCUGAAAUCAGUCGAAGAUACCAGCUGGCUGCAACUGUUUAUUAAAAACACAGCACUGUGCAAACACGAAAGUGGACGUAUACGGUGUGACGCCUGCCCGGUGCCGGAAGGUUAAUUGAUGGGGUCAGCGCAAGCGAAGCUCUUGAUCGAAGCCCCGGUAAACGGCGGCCGUAACUAUAACGGUCCUAAGGUAGCGAAAUUCCUUGUCGGGUAAGUUCCGACCUGCACGAAUGGCGUAAUGAUGGCCAGGCUGUCUCCACCCGAGACUCAGUGAAAUUGAACUCGCUGUGAAGAUGCAGUGUACCCGCGGCAAGACGGAAAGACCCCGUGAACCUUUACUAUAGCUUGACACUGAACAUUGAGCCUUGAUGUGUAGGAUAGGUGGGAGGCUUUGAAGUGUGGACGCCAGUCUGCAUGGAGCCGGCCUUGAAAUACCACCCUUUAAUGUUUGAUGUUCUAACGUUGACCCGUGAUCCGGGUUGCGGACAGUGUCUGGUGGGUAGUUUGACUGGGGCGGUCUCCUCCUAAAGAGUAACGGAGGAGCACGAAGGUUGGCUAAUCCUGGUCGGACAUCAGGAGGUUAGUGCAAUGGCAUAAGCCAGCUUGACUGCGAGCGUGACGGCGCGAGCAGGUGCGAAAGCAGGUCAUAGUGAUCCGGUGGUUCUGAAUGGAAGGGCCAUCGCUCAACGGAUAAAAGGUACUCCGGGGAUAACAGGCUGAUACCGCCCAAGAGUUCAUAUCGACGGCGGUGUUUGGCACCUCGAUGUCGGCUCAUCACAUCCUGGGGCUGAAGUAGGUCCCAAGGGUAUGGCUGUUCGCCAUUUAAAGUGGUACGCGAGCUGGGUUUAGAACGUCGUGAGACAGUUCGGUCCCUAUCUGCCGUGGGCGCUGGAGAACUGAGGGGGGCUGCUCCUAGUACGAGAGGACCGGAGUGGACGCAUCACUGGUGUUCGGGUUGUCAUGCCAAUGGCACUGCCCGGUAGCUAAAUGCGGAAGAGAUAAGUGCUGAAAGCAUCUAAGCACGAAACUUGCCCCGAGAUGAGUUCUCCCUGACUCCUUGAGAGUCCUGAAGGAACGUUGAAGACGACGACGUUGAUAGGCCGGGUGUGUAAGCGCAGCGAUGCGUUGAGCUAACCGGUACUAAUGAACCGUGAGG
rnacentral:rRNA from 1 species